UACGAAGGGGGCUAGCGUUGCUCGGAAUCACUGGGCGUAAAGGGUGCGUAGGCGGCGCGGUAAGUCGGGUGUGAAAUCUCGGAGCUUAACUCCGAAACUGCAUUCGAUACUGCCGUGCUUGAGGACUGGAGAGGAGACUGGAAUUUACGGUGUAGCGGUGAAAUGCGUAGAUAUCGUAAGGAAGACCAGUGGCGAAGGCGGGUCUCUGGACAGUUCCUGACGCUGAGGCACGAAGGUCAGGGGAGCAAACGGGAUUAGA
rnacentral:rRNA from 1 species